CGUCCUUGCCGCAGUCCACUGUGGCUCCUGGGAGACCGCCCCCUGCAUGGGAGGACUUCUUGAAGCAGAGAUGGGGCAGAUGAAGCAAAAGAACUACCACCAAAAAAAGAAAGCCGGGUUUUGGAAAAAGAAAUCGAAAAGAGUGACCAUGCUUUGUCCCUUGAGCCCUCCUAUCCCCAGGGGCCAGCAUAAGUGGGUAUUGGGGUGCUCCCCUGCAGUCUUACAGCCUGUUCAGUCUGCUUCCUGCCUGGGGGCCAGUGUUGUAAAAAUAGAAAUAUCUUUACAAGCUUGUGAUUCCUCUGGCUUCGAUGCCUUUCAAAACUUAGCAGGCAACUAACUUAUCAGGGGCAGUAAUCAUACCCAAAGUUCUCCUCCAGAAUGUUCCAAUCUGCUUUAUUUCCUUCCUUCUCUGUCCUAUGCCUUUUUCUCCUCCCUUUCUUCAGGGUGGCCACCAUCACCUGACAUCUUUGCUGCUCAGAGGGACUUUCCUCUUGCUCGGAGGAUGGGAGGCAUCUGCCCUUCUCAGCAUAGAAGCUGAUCUUUGGUCCCUCUAGUUCUAACACCAGCCAGUUUGGCUUCAGUCCCCCUUUUUCUUUUUUUUUUUUUUUUUUCUUUUUUAAUUUUUUGUCUAUUUACUGGAUUGAGACAGCCAGGAAUCGAGAGGGAAGGGGAUGAUAGGGAAAGAGAGACAGAGACACCUGCAGCUCUGCUUUACCACUUGCAAAGCUUUCUCCCUGUAGGUGGGGACUGAGGGCUUGAACCCAGGUCCUCGCACAGUGUAACAUGUGCGCUCAACCAGGUGCGCCAACACCCGGCCCCUAAGCCCCCCUUUUUCUUAUCAGACUUGGCUCUAAGCAGCCAGCUCACCCAGCAUUCUCUUUUUUCCACUGCUGGCACAACCUCCGAUGUGCUGCAGGCUCAGGCCACACUCCUGCUGAAGGCGAGUCACAGGAAUUGCUCUGGCCCCCAGCACAUUGAGUGCAUGUUUGCACUACGGUUCAUGAAGUGGGCAGGCAGUAGCUCAGUCAGAAGCCAUUGUGCAUAUACCUUAGUUAAUAGUUCAGUACUAAAACACUAACCACCAUCAGAGCCCUGAAUAAGAAGUACUUUAAGAGGAGCUGCAGUACUAGCGGCCCCACCCUGCAAAUUGUAACAAUAGCUCUACCAGACUGGAGUCUUCAAAACCAGCCUUCCAGCCCUCCAGCCUCCCAGCCUGCCACAGGAGUUUCUCUGUCACUAAGCUAAGUUGGAACCAUAUUAUUGGGGGUUUGCUCACAGCAAUUCUUCCUUUUUUUUUUUUUUUUUUGCUUCCAGGGUUAUUGCUGGGGCUCAUUGCCUGCACUACGAAUCCACUGCUCCUGGAGGCCAUUUUUCCCAUUUUGUUGCCCUUGUUGUAGUUGUUAUUGUUCUCAUUGUUGCCGUAGCUGUUGUUGGAUAGGGCAGAGAUAAAUGGAGAGGAGGAGAGAAAAAUAGACACCUGCAGACCUGCUUCACCGCUUGCAAAGCGACCUCCUGCAGAAAACAAAGCUAUGCAUGAAGAGAUUCUUGAAGAAAAGCAACUGGAGAUGGAGACAUCCAGCAUUGCAGGGUAGUUUUUCUCUGAGAAGCUGAGAGAGGAGACAAACCUGCAGCACUGCCGCACCACCCGCUCAUGAAGCUUCCCGCCUCCAGGAGACAGAAAGGGAGAGAAAGACACCACAGCUUCUCUCCCACCAUUCAUGACACUUCCCUGCAGUGCCCCCAUGUUGCUGGGGGCUCACACCCAGGUCCCUGAACGUGGCAAAGUGUGUGCUACCAGCUGAGCCCUGUCUCGGGCCUCUGGGGGGUACUGUGAACAGGCAGGAAGUCCAAAUGGAAAAGGAAGAGAGAGAGAAAGAAGAGAUGCAGGAGGAGGAGGACCCUGCACUGCUCUGCCUUAUGGACCCGUCUUACAGGAGCAGCUGGGCCUCAGCAGGCUUCCCUCUCUGAUGGCAGGGCCCCACGUGCUUCCCUCCCUGUCGCUGUCACAGCAGGCCCAGCUCAAGGCUGCAGGAGGGGAGGCAGAGAGAAGCCAGGCACACCUGACCUUGAAGGGCAGAGAUCGUAUUGGACCUGGGUGCCCAGCUGGAACCACCACACGGCAGCCUCUGAACACCAGUGCCAUGUCCUGGGGCGGCAGGUAGGUUCAGCUGCAGGAGUGGAGUGGUGGGUGCUGGCGCCGUAUUCAUGUUUACAUUCUCGAGGUCUGUGGGGAAUGUACCCCUGGGAGACCCCUCAAAGGGACACCCCACAUCCAAGAGACACUUAGGGCAGCAGGCCGGGAGGGGAGCAGAAGGGUGAGGUCCUGACUUCUGCCCUCAGCACCACAUGUGCUGGAAGGAUGCUCUGCUUCUCUCUCUUUCCCUCUCUCUCUGAUGGUUAAUAAGUCUGAAAGAGGGAAGCAGGGGGGCCAAGUGGUGAUGCACUUGCUUAAGUGCAUGCAUUACCACGUGCAAGGACUAGGGUUCGAGCCCUGGCUCCCCACCUGCAAGUGGGAAGUUUCACAAGAGGUGAAAUAGGUCUGCAAAUGCCUCCCCCCUCUUUGUCUCCCCCUUCCCUCUCAAUUUCUAUUUGUCCUAUCAAAUAAGGAAGGAAGGAAGAGGAAGGGAGGAAGGAAGCAAGGAAGGAAGGGGAAAGGAGAAAUGGCUGUUGGGGGUCCAUGGAUUCACUGUGCAGGCACUACGCUCCAGCGAUGACCCUGGCGGCCAUUAAAAAAAUAAGAAAGUGAAGCAGAAUUCUGUGCAGAGGGAGCCAGCAGGCGAGUGCACUGUGGAUUUCUAAGUGGUUUAUAAAAAGCCAAAAUAGUAGAGUCUAGAGACUCCUCACAGGGGAGGUGUGUUCCAAAGACCAAGAAUGGCUGCCUGGAGACAGGAGCUGCCUGGAGGCAGUGGCGGGAGCUUUGGGGCUGCGGGGCUGCAGGGCUGCUCCUGCACUUCUGCAGCUGGUGGGCUGGUUCCUGCCCCCAGAGAGCAGAGGACGUCCCCCUGUAAGCGGCUGCUCCUGGGCCUGGAGGACUCGGAGCUGCCGUCUGAGGCCUGACCAGUAGGAUGGGGACAAAGGACCCUUGAUCCUGAGUCUUCCCCUCAGCAGCAAAGGGCAGAGGCACCUCCACUCUGCCCCUGACCUCCAGGCCACCUGGGGGCUUCUAACAAACAUGGGGAGACCCCAGGCUCCCUCACCCGGUGUACCAGCCACCCUGAUAUCUGAGAGAAAGAGGACUCCAGCUCAGAGUGGAAAUAAAUUCUGGGGAGAGUAAGAAGAUGCCACCAGCCAGGGGUGAAAUGCUUCCCUUCCAGAAGCUGAGGAGCUCUGAGAGGAGGACACAGCUCAGACUGGACAGCUUAGCAUUGUCCCAAGCUGCAUACGGUCACUUGCAGCUAGUGGACACGCCAGCCGCUGUCUCCAUGGUCACCAUGAGGGUGCACACGUGAAGCCAUGAGCACCAGGCCGGCCUCACACCAGAGACACCCCCAGGCUCCCUGGCCUUGCACCCAGCUCCAAGAAACCUAGCCAGUGCCACCACCCCCCCCCCAGCCCCUCAAACCUUGGUGUCCUGCCUCUGACAUCUAGCAGGACCUUGACAGACCUUUUACUCAUCUCACCUAGGAGUUUGUUUGUUUGUUUGUUUGUUUUUAAUUCGAUGCUGCAGAUGCAACCCAGGGCAUCAGGCAUGCAAGGGCUUUCCUACUCUGAGCUGACAUUUUCAGACAGACAGACCGACCAACCAUAGUAUUAAAACUUCUUCCAGUGUGGUGGUGCCUGGACUUGAAACUGAAUUUUCCACAGCUCUGUGUGGGAGGCCCUCAUAUUCCCUAUAAUCCCCAGAGAUGCUCGCAGGGAGUCAGCCGAGAGCUGGCAAGGGUGCUGGCGAUGCCCUCAGGGCUGACGGGCUCUGCCAUCUACAGCCACCCGAGUCACACCACAGGGACUCCCUGUGAAAAUACAGAGGCCUGGGAGUCGGGUGGUAGCGCAGCGGGUUAAGUGCACCCCAAGAUCAGUUCCCAGCACCUCCAUGUGUCAGGACUGAGCAGUACUCUGGUCUCUUUUUUUAAAAUUAAUUUAUUUAUUUAUUCCCUUUUGUUGCCCUUGUUGUUUUUUUAUUGUUGUAGUUAUUGUUGUUAUUGAUGUCAUCGUUGUUGGAUAGGACAGAGAGGAGGGGAAGACAGAGAAGGGGAGAGAAAGAUAGACACCUGCAGACCUGCUUCACCACUUGUGAAGUGACUCCCCUGCAGGUGGGGAGCCAGGGCUUGAACCCAGAUCCUUAUGCCAGUCCUUGCGCUUUGCGCCACCUGCGCUUAACCUGCUGCGCUACCGCCCGACUCCCGACUCCCCUCUUGGUCUCUUAUAAAAAUAAAAGAAGGUGGUGGACCUGGUUGAGCGCAUGUGCUACGGUGUACAAGGACUGGGAUUUGAACCCAGUGAGUCCACACCUGCAGGGGGAAAGCUUUGUGAGUAGUGAAGUAGGUCUGUAGGUGUCUCUCUCCCUCUCUAGCUUCCUUCCUUUCAGUUUCUGGCUGUCUCUAUCCAAUAAAUAAAGAUAAUAUAAUAAAAUAAAAAUUAAAAAAUAUAUACUAAAAUUAAUAAAUAAAAUAUCACUUAAAUAAAGUAAAACGGGGCUGGGGUGACAGCAUAAUGGUUCUGCAAAAAGACUCACAUGCCCAAGGCAUGCAGGUUCCAGGUUCAGUCCCUAGCACCACCAUAACCUGAGUUUAUAAGUGCUCUGGUAGUAAAUAAAUAAAUAAAUAAAAUAGUAAAACGAAGAUGGCAAGGCGCUGGUGACACUGUAAAACUCGCACAUGUGAAAACCUGGGUUCAAGUCCCAGCACUACAGUGAUGUCACAGUGCUGGGCUCGGUGCCUACACUAUGAAUCCACUGCUCCUCGAGGCUGUUUUUCCCCUUUGGUUGCCCUUGUUGUUUAUCGUCGUCGUAGUUAUUGUUGUUGUUAUUGAUGUCGUUGUUGUUGGAUAGAACUGAAAGAAAUGGAGAGAGGAGGGGAAGACAGAGAGGGGGAGAGAAAGACAGACACCUGCAGACCUGCUUCACCGCUUGUGAAGCUACCUCCCUGUAGGUGGGGAGCCAGGGGCUCGAACCGGGAUCUUUACACCGGUCUUUGCGCUUUGCACCAUGUGCACUUAACCCACUGCGCUACUGCCCGACACCCCCAAUAAAUAAUUUUUUAAAUAAAAGUACUUUAAAGUAAAUAACUUGCAGUGAGGAUUCUCAAACUUGAGCGUGUAUUGGAAUCUUUAGGGGAUAAAAUCCUGGCUGCACCCUCCUCCCCGGUCUGAUUUAAUUAGUAUCUGGGGUGUGGCCUGAGGUGGAAGAGUUUUAAAAGCAGCAGGUGGCUUGCCUGGCAGAGCCCACACAGCGUCUGGGUUCAAGCCAUGACCACCACCUGGGAGCUUCUGAGAGAAGCCACGUGAGCAGCGGGUGGAGCAGUGCUGCAGCAUCUCUCCUUCCAUCUCUCUCUCACCCUCUUCCACAGGGAAGAAAAGAAAAGAAAGGAAAAGGAAAAGGGAAAGAAAAAGGGUUUCGGGGGCCAGACCGUAGCGCACCUGUUUAAGCAUACACAUUACACUGUGCGAGGACCCAGGUUCAAGCCCCUGCACCCCCCCUGCAGUGGUGAAGCAGGGCUGCAGGUGUCUCUCUGCCCCUCUCCAGAGCUCUGUGUCUCCCUCUCCCCUCUCAACGUCUCUCUGUCACUAUCAAUAAUAAACAAAUAAAAGGUUUCCA